rnacentral:rRNA from 1 species
UACAGAGGUCCCAAGCGUUGUUCGGAUUCACUGGGCGUAAAGGGUGCGUAGGCGGUCGGGUAAGUCUGACGUGAAAUCUCCAAGCCUAACUUGGAAACUGCGUUGGAUACUAGCCGGCUUGAGGAAUGGAGGGGAGACUGGAAUACUUGGUGUAGCAGUGAAAUGCGUAGAUAUCAAGUGGAACACCAGUGGCGAAGGCGAGUCUCUGGACAUUUCCUGACGCUGAGGCACGAAAGCCAGGGGAGCAAACGGG